GGGGAUGUAACUCAGGGGUAGAGUGCCUGCUUCGCAUUAUUCCAUGCAACUGCAUGAAGUCCAGGGUUCAAUUCCCUGCCUCUCCA